UCUUCCUCACUUGCGUUGCAACCAUUUCUCAUUUGGAAAAAGUGUUGAGCCACUCAGCCUCCUUCAAUUCCACCACCGAACUUAUUCUUCUUUCUCUUUCACUACAACCUUCACUGAAUCAGUGUUCUGGCCGUGGUUAUCUCCCGUCGAUCCCUCCUUCCCUUUUAGUGGAGCCUUGGUUCUCUCCCGUUGAGCUUUUGUAGGUCGCGCACUGGAACCCUAAUUUUCCCUCAUUCGAACCAUCAUUGUGUGUCAUUGGUAUCAUAGUUAAUUGUUGGUGUAACUUCGCAUAUUUGGGAGCCUCGCCAUUUUCUUGGUGAAGCUUUUUGGUAGAAGACCUGAGAAGCGUUACAAAUGGGAGCCUCUGAAGGAGGACGUUGAGCUGGGAAACUCUACCUAUCCCAUGGUUCUGGUUCAAGUCCCAAUGUUUAUCAACUCUCAAUCGGUGCCGCUUGUGGACUUUCUUCAUGGUAUUUAUUCUUAACCUCUAUAGGUUAAUGCUGUUGAAGUUUUUAUGAGGGAUGUUAAAACAAGUGAUGAGGCUUAUUAUCUAGCACUCAAGGUUGGAUCCCAAUGCACAGAGGUAGGAUCUGAUAAAUAGUAAUGACAUGAUUCCUUUUACAAUAGCUUGUCUGAGGAGGAACUUACACAAGUACAGGAUUACAACUUUGACCACCCUGGUAGUUCACUUCUUGGUCAUUUCUAACAUUCUGUUCAUAUUAAAGUAUAAUGGAAUGUUCUAUGGCCUUGUCUCUUUUAUUAACUUGCAUUUUUUUAAAUUUUGAGAAUGAGGCAAAACAUUUGUUCAUUUUCAUGUUUUUGUUAUUCUAGUAAAUUAAUUAUGAACUCGUUAACUAAAGCUACAUGUUAGUGAAUUAAAACAUUAGUUAAUGAUAAUGCACUGACAGUGUAAAAUAGUUUUCUAGUCUUUUCAUUCAUUGCAGAGUGAAGGAGAAAACAUGAAGGCCGUGUGGAGCCUUGAGGCCAAAUUAGUUGUUAUUCUUACAUCUACCUUCUUUCUUCAUAGUUUCAAAGUCCAGUUCUCAGAUAAAAGAAUACACACUGGUGGUAGACAACCCUCUGCUUUCUACCUAGCUAUAAUUUCUCUUCUGCUUACAGAGCAAGUUCCUUUUGCAGUAAAGGAUUUGUAUGUGUGUUAGAAUUUUUUAACAGUCGCAUGGAUGCCCAAAGAAUGGAUGGUGGAUGGUCAGUCAAUGAAGUACUCCAAGUGGUAAUUGUAAACUGUCGAUCUUGGCGUGUUGAUGGGAUGAAGAUGUUUACUCAACUCCACUUCACAUAUGAACAAGAGAGUCACCCAGAGGAGUUCUUCAUCCCAUAUGUCUGGAAGCUAGUACUCUCCAAAUGUGAAUUUGAAUUCAAUGCAACAGCUAUAAAUUUCUUUCCAGCUGAUAUACCUACCAAAAAACUUGACAAUGAGGUGAAAGGAAAUACAUUUCAAAACAGUGACUUUGACGAAGUCUGAGUAUCAGCUUGAUCCGUUGCCAAGUACUCCAAUUCUGUUUGUGAAUAUUUGUAUAGAUAAAUUAGUUACAAAAAUGUAAUGUUUUCAUUCUUUUCUGUUCAUAAAUUUUGAGUGUAAUUGUUCACUCCUGAAGAUGAAAGUGGUUUGAGAUAUCCAUGUAAUGAAUAAAUGAUGAUGCUAACAUGUCAUCCAUGUUAUGUCAGUUUAUACAAGUUUGCCAUCACUUGCACUUCA